UACUGACUGAAUUUUUUUUCU
rnacentral:piRNA from 1 species